AGAUUUGCGAGGUGACCAGUUUCCAGACAUUGGUUCGCUCCUGCUUGUGUACGCGAUUGGCCGAGACUAAAAAAACUGUAGUGUGCCACCUUAAGGUUUUAGUCGUUUGCUUGUAAGGCAAGAUAGUCCCUGGAGAAGAACUAAAAUACGUCAACAGCCUUGUCAGCGGAAAGACACUCCGUUGCAGUUACUGAAGAUUUGCGAGGUGACCAGUUUCCAGACAUUGGUUCGCUCCUGCUUGUGUACGCGAUUGGCCGAGACUAAAAAACUGUAGUGUGCCACCU